CGGCUAAGAAAAGUUCAUCCUUUCAUUAGACAAUGGUCAGGCAACUUCCAAGUUUAAGAGAACGGGAACAUUUCCAUUAUUUGCUAAAUUUGGAUCGCACACAUGUUCAGGUGUUAACAUCUCGGAAUGGUUCAGUUUCCAUUGCCACCCAACCUCUACGCAAAUUUUCUUGGAUUCUUGGACCUGAAGUAACAGAAGAAAUCCUCUUUCUGAAUCUCCCGUUCUCAUGCUUGGUUCUUGUGUAUCAAAUUUCUGUGCAGCUGCAAAGUGCUAUAGAUAGAGAAGAUUUCUGGUGGUAGUAAUGGAGAUGGUGCUAUCGCUCUCCUGGUAAUAUACUGUUUAAUCUUCCAUUUUGUGUGGUAAGGUAAUAGUUAAUACAAAUAUGACUGAAGCUUAGAGUUAAAUUUGGAAGAGCUGGAAGCCUGCAGCCAAGCUAAUAACGAAAGUUAGUUGCUUUCAGAUGCAGAUCAUAACAUAGCAAUAAAAGGUUGCGCAGCAGAUAAACUCCACAACUAAGCAUAUGCUUUUGUUCGAUGUCUGCUAACUUUUGCUGACACUCUGUGUUUUCAGCUCCCAACCAGUACUUAGCCAGUUGCUUACAGACGAAAAAAAAAAGAAAGAAAGAGGAAGCAUCGGCCAAGAUAGUUCCUUUAACUAUUCCAAUGUGAGAAAUCAUCCUUGAUUAAUAUAGAGUAAAAUAUAAUUACAACAAAUACAAAGUAAGCAUCUUCAACUGUGAAGAAAAACAUAUUGCAGCUUGAGGUAAGGUUGUUACAUUGCCAGCCUAAUCUACAUUGCAAAAAGUAAUGUGAUUUGAUGUCUGGAAGAUAGAACAUGUUUGUGUGCUGAUUUUGCAGUUCAGAUCCUAAGAAUUGAACACCAUGUAACACCCUGUGAUUCUUGUAUUGUUCUCUGAUGUACUAAGCUAAGUAGCUUUCAGCUUCUCAA